GUAGUCUCGCACAGAUGCAUAUCAAUAAGCGGAGGAAAAGAAACUAACAAGGAUUCCCUUAGUAACGGCGAGUGAAGCGGGAAGAGCUCAAAUUUGAAAUCUUCAAGGUUUUACCUUGACGAAUUGUAGUUUAAAGAAGUGUUUUCUGUUGAAGUUUUGGUAAAAGUUCUUUGGAAUAGGACAUCAUAGAGGGUGAGAAUCCCGUAUUUGACCAUUAUUUUCAGCUGUGUGAUACACUUUCAAAGAGUCGGAUUGUUUGGGAAUGCAGUCCAAAAUGGGUGGUAAAUUUCAUCUAAAGCUAAAUAUUGGCGAGAGACCGAUAGCGAACAAGUACCGUGAGGGAAAGAUGAAAAGAACUUUGAAAAGAGAGUUAAAUAGUACGUGAAAUUGUCAAAAGGGAAGCGUUUGACACCAGUGUUGUUUUCUCGAAAAUCAACCUCUUAAAGCGUUAGAUGCAUGUUUGUAUUAGACCUAAUCAGCUAUCUUGCAUUUCUAAUUUUCUUGCUAAUGUGCACUUUUCAGUUUAACAAGGUCAACAUCAGUUUCUUUUGUUACCGUAAAAAAGGUAAUGGAAGGUAGGCUCAUGCUCCGGUCGUGAAGUGUUUAUAGUCCUUUUGCCUAUGCAGUAGGAGAGACUGAGGUCUGCAGCGUAGAUCCUUCGGGGUUAGAUACAUUUGUGCUAAGUUAUAGCUUUUUAUAGACAACUUGUUGACUAUGAUUAGUCUUGUAGCUUACUCGCUUAUGCUAUUUUACCUACGCUUAGGAUGUUGAAGAUGUAGCACAUCAU
rnacentral:rRNA from 1 species